AUGCCUCGGUUUGGUUUGGGUGGGCUGGGGACCCCCCCAGGUCUCCAAGGCAGAGGGAUGAGGGGCCGAGACCCCCACUUGCAGCCCCCCCCCCAGGGCCGGGUCCCCUGUGCGGCUCACCCCCCCCGCUGCUCCCGGGGGGAAUUCCCACCCGGGAUCUCCCCGGGGACAUCAUCCCCUCUGGGUCCCCGGGGAAAUCCCCUGCGCUCACUGCUGGUGACUCAAGGGAAAGGAGAAGUGCCCCCCCCGACCCCCCCCCCCAGCUCCCCGCCGCCCUUCCCAGCUGCGGGGCCUUGCUGGGGACGCGCUCGCCCUGUGGGAAGGGGCUGGGACGCAUUGGGGUGCAGGCACCCCUGGGGCUGGGGGGGGCUCUGCACGGAGCUGGGGGGUCGUGUUGCUGAUCCCAGGGCAGUUGGGAGCCCCAAAAUUGUGGCUUUGUUUGCUGCAGCUCGGCCACCCCCAGCCUGGCCACCCCGGGGAUGUUGCGCUGGGCCGUGUCCCCAAAUAUCCACAGCGAGCAGAAUGGGGGGAAAACCAUGGAAAAAGAGAAGAAAAUGGUUGCAGGGCUCCUUCCACACCCCCGUACCGCCAGCUGCCCAGUCCCAAACCCUGGGGAGGCUGCGGGGGUCCCGGCCGGGCAGGGGGGACAAGAAAAGGGGGGUCCCAGUGGGAGCUGCUCCCGGGGGGGUGCCCCACAGCCGGACCCCCUCCUCCUGCGGGCUGAGGUGCCCCCAGGGCUGCGUGCUAACCCCAGGGUCCCCGCUGAAUGGGAGGAAGGAAAUCCUCAUCCUCGGGAAAGGCUGCACACGGCCGCUUCCUCCUGCCGCAGCGGGGAGGGGGCCGGGGCGCAGCUCUGCUCCAGGGCACGGGGGCACUGGGGGCACUGGGGAUGGGCUGGGGACCCCCCCUCCGGGCUGGGACCCUCCCCAGGCUGGCUGCCAGCCCCAGCUCCUCGCUUUCCUGCUCCUUCUUCCUCUUCCUCGCUGUGCCCUCGGGGUUUUUUUUUUUUUGCCCCCCACGGUGUCCCCGGUUGGGUGA
rnacentral:lncRNA from 1 species